UUCUCCCAGAAAAAGCAGCCAGCUUCCCACGCCCCCCAAACUAGCCAACCCUCCACUGUCAUCUGCUGCGCUGAACACUGGCCUGGGGAAGGCGCGGGCGCCCAGUUCCGCGGCGACAAGGGGCGGCGCAUCUGUCGCUGCAGGAGGCUGCUCGCGCCUGGAGCCUGAGUGCCAAGCGCCAAGGUUUCUGCAUGCACGGGGACCCCAGGAAAUGAGGGCGACAGAACAGCCCUGUGGUUCAACUUCAGGGCAGGGCAGAGUUGAUCCUGGAGACCCACCCUGGAAGGAGUCAGCAGGAGGACUGUGCAUCCAUGAGGAAGAGCUGAGGUUUGAGGAGGCUCUCGAGAGUCCAUCGCCACCCAGCAGGCUGCUUCCCUCUUCUGGCCUGGGUCUCUCAGCUCCAUCCUUGGGCUUGGCUCUGGAGGCUGGUGUGUUUGCCAGAACAUGUGCCACGUUACACCUCUGCCUCUAGUGUGUUUUGUGACUAAAACUGGACUUUUCUUGAUAGAGUAGGCAGGCACCUGUGGAGCACAGCACAGUACAAGGCCCCAAGGCCCCACUGACUCUGCCCCCACCAAAAGCAAGGGUGAUGAGGGUGAAAGAGAGAAAAUGCCUUGCCGUCAGCUCCAGUGUCCAGUUCUUAUAGACACUUCCUGUGGCAGGUGCUUGGAAAGUUCUCAGGUGGAGGCUUUGGGGGUCUCCCCCAGGGCCUCCCAGAGGCUGUGUCGAGCAUGGAGAUAUGGGCAGAUACAUAGAUAUAUUUAAGUAGGUUGCAUUUCCUGAAAACAUUUCUGAGUCUGAGUUCUUUUAGUUCUCUGAAUCUGCGUGCCCAAUUUAGCGCUUGAGCCCUGGAGUUUUAUUUUCGGUGGUGCUUAAGGUCUUUCUUCUCCCUCCUGGCUGUGGGUGGCCCUGUGAAGCUCUGCCUUGGCACCUCCUGUGGGAAUGCCUGUUGUUGGAGAGUGAUUCAGAAGACCAGGGCAUCUUGGUGUCAGGAAAUGGGUGUCCACCAAAGAGAGAGCAGUCUAAAAGAAAAAUGAAAAAAUUUCAUGGUGUGGUAGACUUUUAAACUUGAAAUUAUUAUUUCUCCCAUGCACUCAUUUAGCUUCCAGAUCCC
rnacentral:lncRNA from 1 species